rnacentral:rRNA from 2 species
UCAGAUUGAACGCUGGCGGCAGGCUUAACACAUGCAAGUCGAACGGUGGAAAUAGCUUGCUAUUUGCUGACGAGUGGCGGACGGGUGAGUAAUGCUUGGGAAUUUGCCUUGUUGUGGGGGACAACAGUUGGAAACGACUGCUAAUACCGCAUAAUGUCUUCGGACCAAAGGUGGCCUCUUUAUAUGCUAUCGCGACAAGAUGAGCCCAAGUGGGAUUAGCUAGUUGGUAAGGUAAUGGCUUACCAAGGCUUCGAUCCCUAGCUGGUCUUAGAGGAUGACCAGCCACACUGGAACUGAGACACGGUCCAGACUCCUACGGGAGGCAGCAGUGGGGAAUAUUGCACAAUGGAGGAAACUCUGAUGCAGCCAUGCCGCGUGUGUGAAGAAGGCUUUCGGGUUGUAAAGCACUUUCAGCGAGGAGGAAAGGGUGAUGGUUAAUAUCCAUCAUCUGUGACGUUACUCGCAGAAGAAGCACCGGCUAACUCCGUGCCAGCAGCCGCGGUAAUACGGAGGGUGCGAGCGUUAAUCGGAAUUACUGGGCGUAAAGCGCGCGUAGGCGGUUAAUUAAGUCAGAUGUGAAAGCCCAGGGCUCAACCUUGGAACUGCAUUUGAAACUGGUUAACUAGAGUUUUGUAGAGGGUGGUAGAAUUUCAGGUGUAGCGGUGAAAUGCGUAGAGAUCUGAAGGAAUACCAGUGGCGAAGGCGGCCACGGACAAAGACUGACGCUGAGGCGCGAAGGCGUGGGGAGCAAACGGGAUUAGAUACCCCGUAGUCCACGCAGUAAACGAUGUCUAUUAGAAGUUUGUGGCUAUAUGCCGUGGGUUUCAAAGCUAACGCAUUAAAUAGACCGCCUGGGGAGUACGGCCGCAAGGUUAAAACUCAAAUGAAUUGACGGGGGCCCGCACAAGCGGUGGAGCAUGUGGUUUAAUUCGAUGCAACGCGAAGAACCUUACCAUCCCUUGACAUCCAGAGAAUCACCUAGAGAUAGAUGAGUGCCUUCGGGAACUCUGAGACAGGUGCUGCAUGGCUGUCGUCAGCUCGUGUUGUGAAAUGUUGGGUUAAGUCCCGCAACGAGCGCAACCCUUAUCCUUAGUUGCCAGCACGUAAUGUGGGAACUCUAGGGAGACUGCCGGUGAUAAACCGGAGGAAGGUGGGGACGACGUCAAGUCAUCAUGGCCCUUACGGGAUGGGCUACACACGUGCUACAAUGGCAAAUACAAAGGGCUGCUAACCAGCGAUGGUAUGCGAAUCUCAUAAAGUUUGUCGUAGUCCGGAUCGGAGUCUGCAACUCGACUCCGUGAAGUUGGAAUCGCUAGUAAUCGUGGAUCAGAAUGCCACGGUGAAUACGUUCCCGGGCCUUGUACACACCGCCCGUCACACCAUGGGAGUGGGCUGCACCAGAAGUCAUUAGCUUAACCUCGGAUGGCGAUGACCACGGUGUGGUUCAUGACUGGGGUG